rnacentral:lncRNA from 1 species
GUUUUCCAUCAUCGAUUGAAAUUGAAUGCGAUCUUUUGGCAUUCGCCCACAUCUACCCUAUAACCUGAUUUCCGAUUUUGAAGGAACCCGAACCGAUUUGCAGUGGAAGAUGAACUUGCAACAUGGAGAGAUUCGGAGGCGGUGGUGGUGAUACUCUACAACUUGAUUCGAAUUCAUCAGGGAAGAGGAAGACAGUGUGAAGGUUGGCAUAAGUGAUACCAGCCAUGAUAGAUUUAAAUUAACGGCUAAACAAAUUGUAGGCGUGGAGCUUAGUAGAAUACGAAAGGGUCAUCAUGCUUGAAUGAAAAUCUUUUUCGUAUUUAUAUAUGGAGAUGUCUUUAAUGUCUGCACUCUGAAAUUAAAGAUGGAACGAGGAACCUUGGAAGGAAGUUGAAGAGUCAAUGACUUUUGCCAAGAGACACUGUAUUUUUCCCGCCUUCCCACUCAAAUCGUAAGAGCGUACUCGACACGUUGUUUAAAAUCCAUCAGAGCUCUAAUAAAUCAUUCCAGUUUGCGCUUUACCAAUCAAUGGAAUAUGUUUUACAGUGGCGAUUGGUACAAUUUGAUUUCUAAAAUGGAUCAACAUGCUUUGCGAUUGAAUUCACAAUUUAAGUGGCGAUUGGUAUGUAAGUGUAUUGUGAUUCGGUACAUCACGUACCCACACGUAAACCAACAGGACCCAAAACCUAUCAAGGAGAUCAAGAAGUUUGCACAAAAAGCCAUGGGAACCACAACCACUAACGUAAGAAUGGAAGUCAGAUUAAACAAAUACGUUUACAGCCGCGGAAUCAGAAAUGUAUCAAACACAUCGAGCUUCGUAUAGUUGAAGGGUUGACUAUAGUUCAGUCUCCACGUUUUUUAUAGGUCAACAUAGCAGCCGCCUCUAGAGCUUCAGCACAAAAUUUAUAUAAGUUUUAAGGCAUCUUCUUUAUUCUCUUAGCAUGAAUAUCUAUUGUUAUCUUAUUGCGAAUUUUGAAUGAUAUUUAAGAUGUAAACAUAAAUAUAGCUCAUGAAUAUCUAUUGUUAAUCUUAUUGCGAAUUUUGAAUGAUAUUUAAGAAAUAAGAUUGGGCAAAACAAAAUUUGUGAUCAUGUAAACACAAAUAUAGCUUAUUUCAGUCAUCACUUUCUCUUUUUAUAUUCUGAAAAUUUAACACCGUGAUACUCUUUGCUAUAUCUUUAAACUUACUAAUUCAUAUUACCAUUGUUGCUUUUACAUUUUCAUUUCCUUUCUUUUAGGCUAAAAAGGCAACACUUGAAGAGCUAGAAGAGAGGGGAAGAAGAGGUUCGAUAGAUGAUCCGAAGAAGCUCCCAAAGUAGAAUUAUGAUGGGUCUUGUGGGUUUGAGUCAUAUGGUUCUAACCAGGCUGAGUUUAGGUGACACGGACUGUUUUAUAAAGUGGUCGACUGGUUUUGGUUAGAACGAGUUCGGGUUUGAGUGGGUUCCGGCAAAACUGAAUACGGGGCAAAUCGAAGUAUUCAAAAAAGUGGUCAUUUUUGUUUGGGCAGAACGAUUUCAUAGCGUUGGGCAGGGUAACGUGUCGUAGAAGGUUCGGGUCUCAGUGUGUUCCGACCAAAUUGAGUACAGGUCAAAAGAUGUUGUUUUAAAUUGGGGUCGUUUGGUAGCUCUGUGCUUAUUAAAAUUUUUACAGUCACAAAUGAUAUAGUUGAUAAAGCAAUCAUUUUCU